UACGUAGGUGGCAAGCGUUGUCCGGAUUUUACUGGGCGUAAAGGGCGUGCAGGCGGUUUGUUAAGUGCAGGGUGAAAGCUCCCGGCUCAACUGGGAGAGGUCCUUGCAUACUGGCGAACUCGAGGGAGGCAGAGGAAAGUGGAAUUCCCGGUGUAGUGGUGAUAUGCGUAGAUAUCGGGAGGAACACCUGUGGCGAAGGCGGCUUUCUGGGCCUUACCUGACGCUGAGACGCGAAAGCGUGGGGAGCGAACCGG
rnacentral:rRNA from 1 species